rnacentral:lncRNA from 1 species
UAUCUAGCACCAAAAUGGAUACAGAUAAACGACAUUCUAAAACUUGGGGUAAUAAUCUUUUAUUCAGUACCAAUCUGUUUAUUCACACAUACAUAUUUAUAUAUAUGAUCGUAAGUUUACUUAAUUAUAUCAUCCUCUUCCAUUAGGUUUUUUAUUGUAUCCUCCACGUCCAUCAGGUUUUUCAUUAUAUCCACUUCGACCAGUCGGAUUUUCAUUGUUAGGUUUUUUAUUGUAUCCUCCGCGUCCAUCAGGUUUUUCAUUAUAUCCACUUCGACCAGUCGGAUUUUCAUUGUAUGCUCCUCGUCCAUCAGGGUAUUCAUUAUAUCCACUUCUACCGGUUGUAGUUUCAGCUAACAGAGUUCUUCGUCC